AUGUGGGAAGAAUGUUUACCUCCUGUAGAGUUUGCUUAUAAUCGUUCAGUUCAUUCUACCACAAAGUUAUGCCCUUUUGAGAUUGUUUAUGGAUUUAUACCUCGUGCACCAAUUGAUUUAUUACCUAUUCCAUCUUCGGUGAAGGUAAACCUUGGUGCUAAAGAACGUGCUGAAUUAGUAUUGAAAAUGCAUGAGACGACUAAGAAAAAUAUUGAACGCAUGAAUGCCAAGUAUAAACUUGCUGGUAGUCAGGGUAGGAAAAGUAUUGUGUUUGAACCAGGUGAUUUAGUAUGGUUACAUUUGCGAAAAGACCGCUUCCCUGAUUUACGGAAGUCAAAGUUAAUGCCUCGUGCGGAUGGACCUUUUAAGGUGAUAGAAAAAAUUAAUGAGAAUGCGUAUAAGCUUGAUUUGCCUGCAGAAUUUCGGGUUAGUCCCACAUUUAAUGUUGCAGAUUUAAAGCCUUAUUUGGGUGAGGACGAAGAAAUACCGUCGAGGACGACUUCGAUUCAAGAAGGGGGGGAUGAUGAGGACAUCUCUGCCGCAGUUACACCUGUCGCCACUCCUACAUCAGUUAUGCCAUCCGGACCUAUAACUAGAGCACGCGCGAGACAAAUAAAUGGCCAGGUACUAUCGUUCCUUUAG
rnacentral:rRNA from 1 species